ACCGGCGUAGCUCAAUUGGUAGAGUGUCGGUCUCCAAAACCGAAUGCUGCAGGUUCGAGUCCUGUCGCCGGUGCCA
rnacentral:tRNA from 1 species